rnacentral:lncRNA from 1 species
UUAGUUCCUUAUAUUUUUGAGCUAUUUACGUUAUUUUUGUGUUUAUAGGAUUUGUUAUGCAAAGAAAAUAAAAAUAGAACAAGUGAAAUUUUAUGUAAUAAAUUCGUCAAAACUGCCUGUGUAGAUCAGCUGACUUUGGGAGCAAGUUGCGAACAUCUCAGAAUGAAUUAGAGAAUGAGCCUUAUAUGCUUGGAAAACUACAGAUGUCUAUUUUCUAGAACACUUCACGGAUUGUUAAUAUUAUUUUUCUAGAAGAAGUUAUGGGCAUUUGAGUAAGGGAAGGUCUAGCUGACGACAACUUGCAGAUUGGAAUUGAAAAGCAGACAAAGAUGACAAAGAAGAGCAUAAAGCAUAAAAUCAUGAUGAAUAAUCAUGAUGAAUGAUUAAGGCUGCCCUUUGGUUUUGUCUGAAAGGCAACAAAUACAGCAAAGCACAGGUUGGCAAUAGAAGAAAAGUCAAAUAAAGAAAUAAAUAAAAACAGCAAGUAGAGGAGGGCUCCAGCGAAAAGGGAGGACAGAAGGCAGAGAGAUGGAUAGAUAGAACAGACAGAAAAUUUAGUGAGGGAGACGGACGAGGAGCAGAAACGAGAGAAGAAUCAGCAAGCUGCCUUGCGCAGCGUGAGCCUCGGAGAGGAGAGAUAGGCAGAGAGAGAUUGACAGAGGCUGACGGAAGCACGGCAGCAGUAGCACAGAAGCAGAGGCUUCACUCAAUCUUUCGGUUAAAUCUUUCCAAAUUUAUAUUUUAUUUCUGUUUUAAUAAUGUGUAACUAAAUUUAUUUUGGCUAGAGGUUAAUUCAAAGCCAUGAAUAUAAUUGUAAUAUGAAUUGAUUACCUUCAGUUGUGAUUUCUGAGUUGUGAUUUAAUUUGCUUAACUGCUUGAUUGAUAACUUAUUUUUGUAUGUCGAUUAAGAAUGCAUACUUAAUUUACAUGCAUGAAUUUGACGCUAGAAUAUAAGGGAGUUUCACCUAAUCGUUAUGAACUUAUAUUCAUAAGUAGUGAAGGUUGCUAGUCACAAUCACGUUAAGUAAAUUCUUGGCAUAAGUUUCAUGCAAAUCAUAGUAACGAGUGCCUCUUCAAUGCUUAUGUUUUUCAUAGAAACUUAAUGAUUCUUGCUUGUAUCUCUAUUAUGCAAUUCAUGUAGGGAACUUGUAGGGAAUGUUUUGGGUUGUCGUAUGCAAUCAUCCAACCCAAUAACUUGUGGAAAACUGAGGGUUAAUUAGUGCAAUUCACGGUUAAUUUUUGGGCGUUGAGAUUUACAAUUUAUUGAAAGAACAACUGAAAAAUCAAUUUAGGUUGCAUAUGUGUCAUGUGUGGAGAAGAACCCUCUAGCUAGUCCGUCACCUAUCCUUUCACCUUAAUUUCAUGCUUUUGUCAAUUCUGUAAUUUAUUUAAGUUUAAUUUACUUCUCGUCAAAACCAAACCCUCCCCAUUAUUAAAUUAUAUUAUUUAGUUAGUUUUCAUUGUUGUUAGUCUUUUAAUUCAAUUUCCGUCAAUUUCAGUUCCUAGUGUCUAAUUUGAUUGUUUUCAUUAUUUUGAGUCAUUCUAAGUGUGUUUCGAGUUAUUAGAGCUUUUAGCCUAGUUUUGUGUCCUUGAGUCUUGUUUAAUAUUUUUAAAUUAAUUUAGAAUAGAUUAGCAAUCCCUCCUAAUCCCCGGCCUAGAACGAUACCCUACUUACAUCUAUACUACAAUUGUCAAAAAGAGGGUUAAUUUGUGUGUUUUAGUUAUUUUACGCAUCAAAUUUUGGCGCCGUUGCCGGGGAUUAGCAACUUUGCUAAUCCCUUUAUUUUUGUUUUUUUGUUUAUGUUUAUAUUGGUGUUGUGUAUUUUACUUUUGAUAUUUGAUUUAUUUUUCUUUCUUUGAUUUUAGGUACAAAUGGAGCAAGACAUGGCACUUGCGACCAUUCAAGCUCAAUUGGCACAGCUCACUGCUCAAUUGACUCAUAAUGCCGAACGGACCACAAUGCCAAGUGUCCCUACAUUAGAUGUGCCCUAUGGGCAAGGAUAUCAAAGUCCUCAAUUUUCUGCAAAUGAAGAUGUUUGGGGAUAUCAAGGCCAUAACCAAUCAAGGGGCAACAUGUUUUCCAACGCUUGCAAUUCAGAUUGGAGAGGUAAUUCAGAUUAUAUGUGGGAUGAACCUCAACAAUUUCAACAAGGUGGAUAUUGGCAGCAAGACGAGUUCUAUUCAAGACCUAUGCAGCCACCACAGUAUCCCCCACAACAAUUCCAAUCAAAUCAAAGUAUGCCCGUGAAUUAUAAUGAAAUUCUUGAAGGACUAAUUUCUUUGACGCAGGGUUCACAAAAAGAAGAACAAUUGCCGCCAUCGGAAGAGUUCUAUCAGUGGCCAUAUGAACCGUCAUAACCACCACAACAAUCAGCCCAAUUCAAUUCAGGUACGUCCUUGAAUAAUGAUACACUUAAUAAGUUACUCACCUCUUUGAAUCAGGGAGUAGAAAAUCAAAACCAGGAGAUGCAAGACCGAGUCAAAAGAGUGGACGAAUUGGAUAUGCAAGUUGGGCAGAUUGUGGAAUUCAUGGCACAGAUUCGAGAUCAAAGUGAACUUUCCAACUCAAACAUUGCAAAUUCAAAGGCAGAAAGUGAAAUCGAUGAAGCCAUCACUUUGGAAGGUGACAUGAAGGAUGAAGCUAUCCCAGAACCAUCCAAACACAGCCCGAACAUGGAUGAAUUGCUGCUGCAAGCAGAAGAGGAGGAGGACGACCUGGGCAGUUUAGAAGAAUUCUUGCUGCAAGCUCCUCAAAUCCCUAUGUCAUCUAACUCAGGUGAGGAAGUUCUAAAUUCACUUCAUUCUAACAUUAUUCCACCGAAUGUCCUUUGUCCUUGCAGGUUUUUGAUUCCAAAUAUCAAAGAGAGUGAAAAAGACAUUGUGGAAGCUCUUCCAAAGGUGCAAAGUGAUAUCCCAAUUCUUGGGUGCACCAAAACAAGUUCCCGAUGGUAUUGAAACGUUCAAAGAACCUUGCACACCAAGAAAAGGGAUUCAAGAGAAUGAAGUGGUUGAAGCAUAUCAAGAAUACAUCCAAGAGGUUGUGCAUGAGACAAUCAAGCCCAAAGCAGUUGAGUUUGAUGACACGGGACAAGCCACAACCAUCAUAGUAAACCUGGCCAAGUUCAAAGUCCCGGAAAUGUUCAAAAAUGUGGUGUUUGUCAUUGAGUUUGUGUCGGAAAAAGAAAGUAAGCCAUCUUCUCCAAUUUUAAUUUUAAUUUAUACUAACAUGUUUCUGAUUUUGAUGAUUCAGGCACCCACUCUUGAAUUUAAACCAUUGCCGAAUCAUUUCAAAUAUCACCUCCCAUUAAAAGAUAAAUUCCAUGCUUUGGAGCCGAGGGGAGUUUAAAGGAAAGAUUCGUCCGACUGCGGACGUUAAAGCAAGCGCUUCUUGGGAGGCAACCCAAGCAUUCAACUUACACCCUUAUCUUUACUGCUUUCAUUUUGUUUUGUUUAGUUAGUUGUGUUAUUUGGUUGAUUUCUGUGAGUUUGUGUUAUUUAGUUUAAGUGUGGGGGAAGGUUAAACAAAGUCUUUUUACAUUAAUUUACAUAUUUAAAAAAAAAAAAAAAAAAAAAAACAUUAAAGUAAAAAUAUUUUACAAUGAUGUGUAAACUAAUAGCAUUCAUUGGUCAGGUGGUGCUUCAGUAGUCGGCGGAGCUUCAGCAGUCGGUGGGGCCACGGAAGGAGGAGGUAUCGGAGGUUGAUCAAUUGGAGCUUCACUACGCGGUGCCCCGCCCAGAAGACGAAGGCAGAUGCGGUUGGAACAAACCCACAAACCUCCGGUGAUCAAGUAAAAUCUGACCAUCAUUUUCCUGCAGCUGGUCAAUUUUCCUCUUCAUGUUUGUGGCAUAAUUGUGUGCAAGCUUGUGCAAUUGUUUAUUUUCAUGCUUGAGUCCUCUAAUCUCCUCUUUGAGACUCUGUAUUUCAGCCACCAACGAUUCAACGUGACGGGUUCGAGCAAAUAGGCGUUGGGCCAUGUUGGACACAGAACCCGCACACUGCACGCUAAGAGCCAGAGACUCCUUAACCGCCAAUUCAUCAGACCGUCUAGCGAGCAGUCUGUUAUCUUUGGGGGUGACAAGGUUCCGGGCCACCACCGCAGCGGUCAUGUCAUUUUUCAUCACCGAAUCCCCCACGGUAAGGGGACCGGUAGGGGAUAUGAAGGAUGGGCGCCAUAUGUUGUCUGGUGAAGGCGGAGCUGCCUCUUCACCAAUGUUCAAGUCAAAACGACGAUCGGAAGGGCCAGACAUUUUUCAGAGGUGGUGAAGAAAGAAGAGAGUCGGACUGAUUAAGAUUUUGGAAGUGCAAGAAGGGAGUGUUUACACGAGGGAGCUCAAGUGUGUUGUGGAACAAAAUUAACGCCUCUAUAAAAAGAAGAAAUCAAAGAGGCGCUCCUCAGAGAAGCGUCCUCUCGCAAAUCGAAGAGUCGGGGCUCCUUUCUCAAAAGUCGGAUUCUUUUCUCAAAAGAGGCGUUUCAUUUCUUAAAAGUUGGGCUUACUCAGAAACCACGAGCCGAACCCCGGAUUUCAAAAGAUCAAUUUGUCCAGACGUGUCGUCACUCGUCACAUGCAACUGGCAGCUUUGCGGAAAUUACGGGCAGCUUUGUCAGAAAGCGCGUAAUUUGUACUAUUUAUCCAUCCACCGGCUGCCGACAAUGAGUGAGGGAAUAGUUCCGGUUGUGAAGAAAAGUCCUAUAAGUAUCUACAUUCACCUUCCCACAGCAAAGGCACACCCUCUCAACACUUCUUCAUCUCCGAGAAUGUAUUCCCAAAGAAACCUUUCGAGUUACUCUGUAUUCCUUAUUCCUUGGGGUACCUCUGCAAACAACCCAUCCAAAGCAAAAGUAUUUCAUAUCAUGAAGGUUGAAAGCAAGAGUAUCUCAUAUCAUGCUUUCUCCCUGUCCUUCUCCUUAUCUUUGUUUUACGACAAGGAGAAAGCAAGCAAUCAGCCAGCACUUGGUAUAAAUCUUCCGAUCUGGAGCCAACUGCCUGGAACCCCUUCCUGAUUGCUUACCUAGCCUUGCUUUCGAGUACUCAUCUUCAUCAUCUUGUGCUUUCUCUUCGUCUACCACAUCUGCCUGGGGGACAGUAAGGGAAGUGAAAAUGAUACCUCGAAGCAUGUGGAGACAAUUCAGCUAGGGACAAGGAGAAAGAAAGCAAGAGGUGGGCACUUGGAAAGAUUGAAGAAAGAAACAGACCAACACCUCUCCCUCAUGCCUGCCCGUCGUGCAGAAGAAACAAGCAGAGAAGAAUGCAGCUUGCACAAUCAUCCCAGCGGAAGGAGUCUGAGAUAAAGAACUAGAGAAGCUGCCACAUCUGCUUGGAGAACAAAUAAGGAACUGCAACAUCACCAAAGAGCAAAGCUUCGCCGUACAAUAUCAUCAAAUCAUCAUCACUUGCAAGUAAAAAGCUAAGUGUCACCCCCCGUUCAAGAGGAAAGCUGUGGAAAGUCAACAAGCACGACCAAUGAUCACUUAUUAGUUCUAUUCAUUGUCUUUUAUCGUGAUUUUCAAUUUUUCGUUUGCAAUUUUUUUUUUUUUUACAUUUUCUUGCGUUACUUAACUGAAUUAUUUCUUUUCUUUGCAGGAAUUUUUGGUUAUUUCCACCCUUGAAGUUGAUUGCAGAAUUUUAGCUUGGGGGGGUCAUCGCUUGGUUUUACUGCAAACUAGGGAAGUUUUCAGUCCAAUUGCUUUAUUUUGUUUCUUAUUAUUUAUUUAUUUUAUUUUUAUUUGCAUUAUAGUGUUUUCUGACAUUGGGGACAAUGUCCAGUUUAAGUUUGGGGGUAAAGAGUAUAAAAAAAUGACCAAAUUGAAAUUUUUUUGUACCUUCAACUACGAACGAGUUUCAUUUGUUUCCAUGUUGUUGCUUUUUGUUUUCUCUAUUAGUUUUGUUUUCUUAAAAAAAAAAAAAAAAAAUCGGAAAAUUUAAAAAUCCAAAAAUAUUGUCUUGUUUUCCUUAUUAGAUUUUUGUUAGUUUCCCGACCCAAUGAUAUAAUUGGAUCAAAUUUGAAUCAUGAUUAUCAAGAACUUAGUUAACAUGUGUUUUGUGAAAUUCCUAAUUCUCUUGUUAGUUUUGUACAUGUUUGAUCAUCUUUGAAAAACCAAAUGCACAUAGCCUUGUUGAUGUGAAACUAAAGCAUGACUUAAAGCUUCAUAUGUGAAUUUAGUGACCAUAUACAUCCUAUGUGAGUUUUUGAGCCUAUUGAAAGUGUGUGCAUUUUUCAUACACUCCUAUUUUUUUAUGUGUGAUGAACUUAUGUGAGAUACAUCUCUAGAACUUGCGUAACGAUCUUUCGAAAUGUUUGUCAUUGACUGCAUGAACUUGGAAAUGAUAGAGGCAUUAGGUUUACCACUAUGGCCCAAAUAACCAUGUUUCCCAAAGAAAAGAAAAAUGAUAUCAUUAGAUUGCCAAUUUGAGCCGUGUAUGUUGAGCCUUUUUAUUUCUUAGCACCAGAUAUGUCUACCCUUAUACCUGAAACAUUUUUCCUUACCCUUUCCAAGCGAGCAAUGCGAGAUUGUCUUAUGAGAAACGUUUAUGAAGUACUUUGAAGGUGUUUGGCAAAAGAAUAAGUGUGGGGGUAUUUCAUGUUUGUAUUAAAAAAAAAAAAAAAAAAAAAAAAAAAAAAGAGAAAAGAGAAGAAAAGAAAAGAAAAAGAAAGAUUGUACACAAAAAGAAAAUAAAAAGUUGUUCAAGUUUCAGUUUAAGGGUGUGGUUAGAGGUGCUAAAAGAAUCGUUGGAAAGGUUGAGUUCUUAUAAAUCUAAAGAAAAGAAUUGCUUGCAAUGUAGCUUGGAACUUGUGUUUACCUAUUCUUUCAUUUCAAUAACCCUCUCCCUAAACCUCAUUACAUCCAAUAAAAGUCAUCUUGAUUUAAGUUUUGCAAUUAUGAUUGUGGAGAUGAGAUCUUUAUGCAAGCUUAUGGUAGAAAUUUCACAUUUGAUUCUUUGAGCGAAACACAUUUAAACUAAACACAUGUGUGAUUGAGUGUAUAUCCCGUGAGAAGGUUGCUAGUUUGCAUAUGAUGAUUUUAAAAAUAUAAAAAUUUUGAAAUUGCAUUAGCAUGGCUAUCUCACACACUACACUUCAAGGAUGAUUCAAAGAUUACUGCUAAUAUUUGAAUAAGGAAGAUGAACUUGGAUUAGUUCCUUGAUGCUAGCUAUGGUUCUUGUUGAUUUGUGUUCUCGAAUGAAAUUCUAUGAGGGUCACAUAGGGGGAAGCUAAUGUUUUUCUUGUUACUUCUUGUUCUUGUUUUCUUUGUUUUGCUCGAGGACUAGCAAAAGUUAAGUGUGGGGGUAUUUGAUCAGAUCAUAUUUAUAUAUAUUUUUACUUCGAAUUCACUUGUCUUUUCUUAGUUAGUUCCUUAUAUUUUUGAGCUAUUUACGUUAUUUUUGUGUUUAUAAGAUUUGUUAUGCAAAGAAAAUAAAAAUAGAACAAGUGAAAUUUUAUGUAAUAAAUUCGUCAAAACUGCCUGUGUAGAUCAGCUGACUUUGGGAGCAAGUUGCGAACAACUCAGAAUGAAUUAGAGAAUGAGCCUUAUAUGCUUGGAAAACUACAGAUGUCUAAUUUCUAGAACACUUCUCGGAUUGUUAAUAUUAUUUUUCUAGAAGAAGUUAUGGGCAUUUGAGUAAGGGAAGGUCUAGCUGACGACAACUUGCAGAUUGGAAUUGAAAAGCAGACAAAGAUGACAAAGAAGAGCAUAAAGCAUAAAAUCAUGAUGAAUAAUCAUGAUGAAUGAUUAAGGCUGCCCUUUGGUUUUGUCUGAAAGGCAACAAAUACAGCAAAGCACAGGUUGGCAAUAGAAGAAAAGUCAAAUAAAGAUAAAUAAAAACAGCAAGUAGAGGAGGGCUCCAGCGAAAAAGGGAGGACAGAAGGCAGAGAGAUGGAUAGAUAGAACAGACAGAAAAUUUAGUGAGGGAGACGGACGAGGAGCAGAAACGAGAGAAGAAUCAGCAAGCUGCCUUGCGCAGCGUGAGCCUCGGAGAGGAGAGAUAGGCAGAGAGAGAUUGACAGAGGCUGACGGAAGCACGGCAGCAGUAGCACAGAAGCAGAGGCUUCACUCAAUCUUUCGGUUAAAUCUUUCCAAAUUUAUAUUUUAUUUCUGUUUUAAUAAUGUGUAACUAAAUUUAUUUUGGCUAGAGGUUAAUUCAAAGCCAUGAAUAUAAUUGUAAUAUGAAUUGAUUACCUUCAGUUGUGAUUUCUGAGUUGUGAUUUAAUUUGCUUAAC